rnacentral:rRNA from 1 species
CCUACGGGGUGCAGCAGUGAGGAAUAUUGGUCAAUGGGCGUAAGCCUGAACCAGCCAAGUCGCGUGAGGGAUGAAGGUUCUAUGGAUCGUAAACCUCUUUUAUAAGGGAAUAAAGUGUGGGACGUGUCCUGUUUUGUAUGUACCUUAUGAAUAAGGAUCGGCUAACUCCGUGCCAGCAGCCGCGGUAAUACGGAGGAUCCGAGCGUUAUCCGGAUUUAUUGGGUUUAAAGGGUGCGUAGGCGGCCUUUUAAGUCAGCGGUGAAAGUCUGUGGCUCAACCAUAGAAUUGCCGUUGAAACUGGGAGGCUUGAGGAUGUUGAAGGCAGGCGGAAUGCGUGGUGUAGCGGUGAAAUGCUUAGAUAUCACGCAGAACCCCGAUUGCGAAGGCAGCCUGCCAAGCCAUGACUGACGCUGAUGCACGAAAGCGUGGGGAUCAAACAGGAUUAGAUACCCCUGUAGUC